AAAAAAUCCCUGCUCCUCCGCCUUCCCCUCCGUCCGUGCUCCGCCGCCGCACCCGCCGCCGCCGCUGUCGGAUCCGGCGAAGGUGAGCUCGCCGUGUCGGUCUGGAGGAAGCCCCGCCACUUCUCAGAGCCAGAUUUGGUAUGGUGGGUCGCUUGGUUCCCCUAUCAACUUGGAUGGGCAGACUCCUCCAGCCAGCUCCACGUAAGAACUGAAUCCCCUGCAGAAGCUCUUGAAGGGAAUGGUGGCCAAAUGGUGUUGAUUCAUAUCUGUUGAUAUGGUGUAUUCUGUUAUGUGAUCCUGACCUGAUUGGAACACGACCCGUGGAAGCUGAAAAUCAAGCAGUACAAUAUUGGAGCUGAAGAUCAAGCAGUACAUUAUUGGACGUUCCGAAGAGAACAUGGAAAGUUGUUUCUCCGUUGCCAUGAGGAUUCACUUUUAUUCUUAGCAUAUUACCUUGAUGGUUAGCUGAUUGUAGAAGUUCAUUUUUCUUUCUAAAAAGGAGAUGGCCCAAUUUCACUUGAAGCUAGAAUUGGGACAUUUCAAGUAGUACAUGUGUAAUUGAUAUGCCCCAUCUAAAUUGUGAAAAUGUAUCGAGCUCACAUUCAAGGAGCAGUGGGCUGUUAUCUACCAGAUAAGAUCUUGUCAAACAAAUGUACUAGUCAGUGCAAUGUCAUUUGGUGACUGAAAUUUA